UUUUUCGUCGAUGUUCACAGAAUGUUUACCUCGUGACGUCAAGGUUAGUUAUCGCAGCUGUACAAAUCUUUUUUCGCGUGAAAUACAUAUUCGUGCAACGUGUCUACUGUUCGAGGAAAUCGAGCGAGUGACGUGCAGUAAUGAGAUAAAAACGAGACUAACUAGAAGAUUCUGUCCAGUCGUUCUCGAGUUUAGCAACAAUUUGUAAAACACGAUUUUAUCAUAACCCUCUUGCACUAAUAUAAUAUUUAACAACAA